CAGGGUGACAGCCCCGUACACAAAAAUGCACAUGCUGUGAGCUCGAUGAGUAGGGCGGGACACGUGGUAUCCUGUCUGAAUAUGGGGGGACCAUCCUCCAAGGCUAAAUACUCCUGACUGACCGAUAGUGAACCAGUACCGUGAGGGAAAGGCGAAAAGAACCCCGGCGAGGGGAGUGAAAAAGAACCUGAAACCGUGUACGUACAAGCAGUGGGAGCACGCUUAGGCGUGUGACUGCGUACCUUUUGUAUAAUGGGUCAGCGACUUAUAUUCUGUAGCAAGGUUAACCGAAUAGGGGAGCCGAAGGGAAACCGAGUCUUAACUGGGCGUUAAGUUGCAGGGUAUAGACCCGAAACCCGGUGAUCUAGCCAUGGGCAGGUUGAAGGUUGGGUAACACUAACUGGAGGACCGAACCGACUAAUGUUGAAAAAUUAGCGGAUGACUUGUGGCUGGGGGUGAAAGGCCAAUCAAACCGGGAGAUAGCUGGUUCUCCCCGAAAGCUAUUUAGGUAGCGCCUCGUGAAUUCAUCUCCGGGGGUAGAGCACUGUUUCGGCAAGGGGGUCAUCCCGACUUACCAACCCGAUGCAAACUGCGAAUACCGGAGAAUGUUAUCACGGGAGACACACGGCGGGUGCUAACGUCCGUCGUGAAGAGGGAAACAACCCAGACCGCCAGCUAAGGUCCCAAAGUCAUGGUUAAGUGGGAAACGAUGUGGGAAGGCCCAGACAGCCAGGAUGUUGGCUUAGAAGCAGCCAUCAUUUAAAGAAAGCGUAAUAGCUCACUGGUCGAGUCGGCCUGCGCGGAAGAUGUAACGGGGCUAAACCAUGCACCGAAGCUGCGGCAGCGACACUAUGUGUUGUUGGGUAGGGGAGCGUUCUGUAAGCCUGUGAAGGUGUGCUGUGAGGCAUGCUGGAGGUAUCAGAAGUGCGAAUGCUGACAUAAGUAACGAUAAAGCGGGUGAAAAGCCCGCUCGCCGGAAGACCAAGGGUUCCUGUCCAACGUUAAUCGGGGCAGGGUGAGUCGACCCCUAAGGCGAGGCCGAAAGGCGUAGUCGAUGGGAAACAGGUUAAUAUUCCUGUACUUGGUGUUACUGCGAAGGGGGGACGGAGAAGGCUAUGUUGGCCGGGCGACGGUUGUCCCGGUUUAAGCGUGUAGGCUGGUUUUCCAGGCAAAUCCGGAAAAUCAAGGCUGAGGCGUGAUGACGAGGCACUACGGUGCUGAAGCAACAAAUGCCCUGCUUCCAGGAAAAGCCUCUAAGCAUCAGGUAACAUCAAAUCGUACCCCAAACCGACACAGGUGGUCAGGUAGAGAAUACCAAGGCGCUUGAGAGAACUCGGGUGAAGGAACUAGGCAAAAUGGUGCCGUAACUUCGGGAGAAGGCACGCUGAUAUGUAGGUGAGGUCCCUCGCGGAUGGAGCUGAAAUCAGUCGAAGAUACCAGCUGGCUGCAACUGUUUAUUAAAAACACAGCACUGUGCAAACACGAAAGUGGACGUAUACGGUGUGACGCCUGCCCGGUGCCGGAAGGUUAAUUGAUGGGGUUAGCGCAAGCGAAGCUCUUGAUCGAAGCCCCGGUAAACGGCGGCCGUAACUAUAACGGUCCUAAGGUAGCGAAAUUCCUUGUCGGGUAAGUUCCGACCUGCACGAAUGGCGUAAUGAUGGCCAGGCUGUCUCCACCCGAGACUCAGUGAAAUUGAACUCGCUGUGAAGAUGCAGUGUACCCGCGGCAAGACGGAAAGACCCCGUGAACCUUUACUAUAGCUUGACACUGAACAUUGAGCCUUGAUGUGUAGGAUAGGUGGGAGGCUUAGAAGUGUGGACGCCAGUCUGCAUGGAGCCGACCUUGAAAUACCACCCUUUAAUGUUUGAUGUUCUAACGUUGACCCGUAAUCCGGGUUGCGGACAGUGUCUGGUGGGUAGUUUGACUGGGGCGGUCUCCUCCUAAAGAGUAACGGAGGAGCACGAAGGUUGGCUAAUCCUGGUCGGACAUCAGGAGGUUAGUGCAAUGGCAUAAGCCAGCUUGACUGCGAGCGUGACGGCGCGAGCAGGUGCGAAAGCAGGUCAUAGUGAUCCGGUGGUUCUGAAUGGAAGGGCCAUCGCUCAACGGAUAAAAGGUACUCCGGGGAUAACAGGCUGAUACCGCCCAAGAGUUCAUAUCGACGGCGGUGUUUGGCACCUCGAUGUCGGCUCAUCACAUCCUGGGGCUGAAGUAGGUCCCAAGGGUAUGGCUGUUCGCCAUUUAAAGUGGUACGCGAGCUGGGUUUAGAACGUCGUGAGACAGUUCGGUCCCUAUCUGCCGUGGGCGCUGGAGAACUGAGGGGGGCUGCUCCUAGUACGAGAGGACCGGAGUGGACGCAUCACUGGUGUUCGGGUUGUCAUGCCAAUGGCACUGCCCGGUAGCUAAAUGCGGAAGAGAUAAGUGCUGAAAGCAUCUAAGCACGAAACUUGCC
rnacentral:rRNA from 1 species